GGGGAAGAGGAAUGUGCUGAGUGGAGUGUGUUGUUUUUGAUUAUUAUCUUUAUGCCAUUUGCUUACAGGAUUAUGGAAAGAAGGACUGAAAAAGGUGACUGGAUCUACUCAAGAGAAAGGCAUUUAAAAAUGCAAAAUGAACAGGUGCAAAGGCCCGAAGCCCAGAAAAAGAGAAGCUCUAAUUAGAAUUGGGAAACUCAAUAUGGAGCCUAAGGGAAAGAGAAUCAAUGGCUAGCUAGCCACAUUCCAGUUCCCCACAGUUGUCUGAACCUGGCUAUAGACCUGACAUCUUUGCAAGCAUGACAUCGUACAAGGUGCCUGGCAGAACCAAAGACACAGAACCCCUGCCUAAGGAGAAGUGCAGAGGUGAGGAGAUGCAGCUGUGGGCCGAUGUGUGGCGUAUCCUUGGGUAGCAGGAACGUGUGAGGCGGUGGCAAAUGGUGUGGCGUGACCUGAGCCAGCAGAGAAGGCGUCAAAGGUAGGCUGGGCCGGGUGAUGAAGGAUCUUCAUUAGACGCUGAGGAAGUGCUCUACGCGAGGGUUUUGUUCUUGUUUUUUCAGUUAGAGUUUCCUACUACACCAGUAACAUCCACACACACUUCUGAGAUCUGCAAACAGCAUACAAUGAAAAGAGAUUUGGCACCACAGUUUCUCUGUUCUGCAGCCCCUCUCCCGGGAAACGGCCGUGAUCACCAACUUCUCGUGCAUCUUUGUGAGAAUAUUCUAUGUAUAACUAUCUUCUUUCUUCUUCCUUUGUUGAACACACAGGAGCAUACGAUGCGAACUCGUGUCUUGAGAUCGUCCCCUAUCAGUACAUUUGGCACACUCAGAUCUGUCUCAUUCUUUUCUUCAGCUCCAUGUUUUCCAAUUCUGUGGUUGAAUCCUGGUUUAGUUAACCAAUCCACUAAUCAUAGACAUUCAAUGUGUUGCCAGUCAGUACACAGUGCUGAUUUGAAGAUUCUCAUCUUUGAAAACGUGCAAGUAUUACUUACAGGAGAUAACCCUUGGGGUGGCAUUUCUGUGCCCCUGGGAAGGAAUGUCAGUAGGGGAAGGCCACGGACAAGCAAGUGGGCCUUUGCAAGCCACCAGUCUGGCAGCUGUGUUGCAGAAUCCUGCGGAUGGAGGAGCCCUCGGAAGUGAGGAGACUGGGAGUCUCUUGUAUCUCUUUGGGAGGGAACCCUGGAGAGAGCGGCUGAAAGCUCAGCCAGCUGACCCCUGGAGCAGUUUACAGAUGGAAUCCCUGAGAGCCUCGCACACCCUCUCUGACCGCACUCCCUUUUCCCCCAGGCUUUCUGUUUCCCCCCAAGUUCUUUUGAGCAGGUAGCUCACACCUGUGAGCAGAAGGUGUCUGUGGCGACUUUGUCUUUGGGGGUAAAGCUCUAUGUGGUUAGUAUUCUGAAAUCAGUAACGACAGAGGAUUGAAGGAGCCCAUGAGCAGUGGGGAGAAGUGGGGAGAAAAACCUUUGCAAAAGUGCUCCAAAGUGACCGUCCGGGUUACCUUGGUGCUGGCGUGUGCUCUCGGUCCUACCUGUGGAUGGUGGAUGGCGCUGUCUAUCUGCGUGUCUUUUGUUGCCCUCUUUUCUUUUUCUUUUUUUAUACCAAUAAAAGCACACUUACUUACUAUCCUUUGCAUUCGAGGGUAACUACCGUACCCUCAUUAAGCCCCGUGACUUCUUUCAUUCCUCGUCUAGUCAUAAUCUUAAUUACCCCUGCUUAAAAAAGCUUAACCUACUUAAAGGAGCAAUAACAAACUAAUCCUAGUUUGACAACACAUGCACAUUGCAUCUGGCAUGAGGAGCAGCAGGCCCUCCCCGCAUCUCUCUCCGCGGCCUCUGAGCGGAAAAUGCAGGGAAGUGAAGGCGCGGGUGGUCAGCCGUCCUCUUUUCUCCCUUUCUCUCCCUCCUGGAGUCCCUUUUGGGUCUGCGCUCACUCGCUCCAACCCUGAGCUCCAGACAGCUCCGCGGCCACGGGCCCCAGGGCCGGCAGCCUUACGUAACCCGGAAAUGAAGCAGAAGUGCUCCUGGUGUGGCUGCAAGUCGAUUAGAGUUUGAGAAACAUAAAACUGAAAGCCAAAGAAGAUCGGCUGCCAGUCACACAGCGUGCCCUUCUGCCAGGGCACGCCUGCUCCCGAUGAUACGUACGCCAGUGUUUAUUCUGCUCUGGAAAAAAAUAAUGUCCCAAGUGGUGCAGCUCACACCACUUGGGCUCAGAGGGAGACCCAGCGCCUCGCAGGCCUGUGCGGCACUCAGCAGGCAGGUUUG